CGGAGGAAAAGAAACUAACAAGGAUUCCCCUAGUAACGGCGAGUGAAGCGGGAAGAGCUCAAAUUUGAAAUCUGGUGGCCUCAGGUCAUCCGAGUUGUAAUCUAUAGAAGUGUUUUCCGUGCUGGCUCAUGUACAAGUCCCUUGGAACAGGGCGUCAUAGAGGGUGAGAAUCCCGUCCUUGACAUGAACUACCAGUGCUCUGUGAUACAUUUUCAACGAGUCGAGUUGUUUGGGAAUGCAGCUCAAAAUGGGUGGUAAAUUCCAUCUAAAGCUAAAUAUUGGCGAGAGACCGAUAGCGAACAAGUACCGUGAGGGAAAGAUGAAAAGCACUUUGGAAAGAGAGUUAAACAGUAUGUGAAAUUGUUGAAAGGGAAACGAUUGAAGUCAGUCGUGCUCUUUGGAUUCAGCCGGUUCUGCCGGUGUACUUCCUUUGAGUGGGGUCAACAUCAGUUUUGAUCGCUGGAUAAAGGCUGGAGGAACGUAGUACCCUCGGGUAAACUUAUAGCCUCCUGUCACAUACAGUGGUUGGGACUGAGGAACGCAGCACGCCUUUAUGGCCGGGAUUCGUCCACGUACGUGCUUAGGAUGUUGACAUAAUGGCUUUAAACGACCCGUCUUG
rnacentral:rRNA from 1 species